rnacentral:tRNA from 1 species
UGGGAUAUAGCUCAGAGGUAGAGUGAAUGCCUAGCAUGCACAAAGCCCUGGGUUCAGUCCCAAGUAACACAC